AUAUUUCUUGUAGAUUUAUUUACCAAAUAAUUAUUCCAUAAUAAAAUUCAUCACUUAUUGGAGAGGGUUGCAGCAUAAUAGCUCCUGUCGUGAGGGACAGUUGAGAAAUGUAGAAUAUCUUCCACCAGGUUUUCUGAUAGGUUACUAACUAAUUGAAACUGAUUACCAAUUUACGAUAAAAACCCAUAAUAGAAAUCCAAGACAGAACAUCCGCCAUAUCAUUCGCAGCUCCAUUGGAUGUCUCCCCUGAACACCACCAUGCUUCGAAUAAAACAUUAUCCACUACCAAUAUCUCUCUUCUUCAAGCAUCAAAUAACGUCCCAUUCAAGGGUUCUUGAUACAAUUUUCUAAGGUCCUGUUGCUCCAUACCAGACCCCGUUUAGAUUAUCUACUGACGGAUUAUGCUCCUCGCAUCUAACACUAGGACUUGCGUCCAAAAUUUGAAUACACUUCACCUUGAUCCAAUUCCUCAUCACCCUCAUCAGCAUUCCAAAGCCUCACCCCAUUGUUUGUUAUAAUCUUCUUUCACACACAGGCCUUAAAAACUAUUACCACCUACCAUUUCCUCAUAACCCAACUCUGCAUCGCUCUCCAGCAAAUCAUGAUUACAUCCGGCCACCACAUUAAUUGCUUCAUUCUCAACAUCGAAGCACAUGUUUCCUCUUUCCCAUUGUUUCAAUUGUUCAUCUUCUUGUCCUUACAUGGCAACCGAAGUUUUGCUACGACCUACGAGUCUCCUCUGAGCUGUUUCCCUUAUCUAGCUUACAGCAGCAUCGACAAUUGCCCUAAAAAUAGAUCAGUCUCAUAAACGGACUAAACUGAAAAGCAUUUCUGGCUUCUAAUACUUGAAAAUCUCAUCAAUUCAAUUAAUAUUGACAAGGAACAAUUUGGAUAUUUACGAGGGUAAAACAACUAGGUUCCAAUGUUCUCUGAUCAUCUCCAGGCAAU
rnacentral:lncRNA from 1 species